rnacentral:ncRNA from 1 species
UUCACGGAGAGUUUGAUCCUGGCUCAGGACGAACGCUGGCGGCGUGCUUAACACAUGCAAGUCGAACGAUGAACCACUUCGGUGGGGAUUAGUGGCGAACGGGUGAGUAACACGUGGGCAAUCUGCCCUGCACUCUGGGACAAGCCCUGGAAACGGGGUCUAAUACCGGAUACAACCACUAGGGGCAUC